rnacentral:rRNA from 1 species
AGAGUUUGAUCAUGGCUCAGGACGAACGCUGGCGGCGUGCUUAACACAUGCAAGUCGAGCGGUAAGGCUCCUUCGGGAGUACACGAGCGGCGAACGGGUGAGUAACACGUGAGCAAUCUGCCCUUCACUUUGGGAUAACUCCGGGAAACCGGUGCUAAUACCGAAUGCGACCACUUCAGGCAUCUGACGGUGGUGGAAAGUUCCGGCGGUGAAGGAUGAGCUCGCGGCCUAUCAGCUUGUUGGUGAGGUAAUGGCUCACCAAGGCUUCGACGGGUAGCCGGCCUGAGAGGGUGACCGGCCACGCUGGGACUGAGACACGGCCCAGACUCCUACGGGAGGCAGCAGUGGGGAAUAUUGGACAAUGGGCGAAAGCCUGAUCCAGCAACGCCGCGUGAGGGAUGACGGCCUUCGGGUUGUAAACCUCUUUCAGCAGGGACGAAGCGAAAGUGACGGUACCUGCAAAAGAAGCACCGGCCAACUACGUG